rnacentral:rRNA from 1 species
CGUAAGCAACCUGCCUAUCAGAGGGGAACAACAGUUAGAAAUGACUGCUAAUACCGCAUAUGCCUUGAGUAUUGCAUGAUACAAAAGGGAAAGGAGCAAUCCGCUGAUAGAUGGGCUUGCGUCUGAUUAGCUAGUUGGUGGGGUAAAGGCCUACCAAGGCGACGAUCAGUAGCCGGACUGAGAGGUUGAACGGCCACAUUGGGACUGAGAUACGGCCCAGACUCCUACGGGAGGCAGCAG